ACUGCUCAGUAACACGUGGACAACCUGCCCUUAGGACGGGGAUAAACCCGGGAAACUGGGUAUAAUCCCCGAUAGGUCUCGAAUGCUGGAAUGCAUCGAGAUCUAAAGCUCCGGCGCCUAAGGAUGGGUCUGCGGCCUAUCAGGUAGUAGUGGGUGUAGUGUACCUACUAGCCUACGACGGGUACGGGUUGUGAGAGCAAGAGCCCGGAGAUGGAUUCUGAGACACGAAUCCAGGCCCUACGGGGUGCAGCAGGCGCGAAAACUUUACAAUGCUGGCAACAGCGAUAAGGGAACCUCGAGUGCCAGGUUACAAAUCUGGCUGUCGAGAUGCCUAAAAAGCAUUUCAUAGCAAGGGCCGGGCAAGACCGGUGCCAGCCGCCGCGGUAACACCGGCGGCUCGAGUGGUAACCGUUAUUAUUGGGUCUAAAGGGUCUGUAGCCGGCCGGAUAAGUCUCUUGAGAAAUCUGGCAGCUUAACUGUCAGGCUUUCAGGAGAUACUGUCUGGCUCGAGGCCGGGAGAGGUGAGAGGUACUUCAGGGGUAGGGGUGAAAUCUUGUAAUCCUUGAAGGACCACCAGUGGCGAAGGCGUCUCACCAGAACGGACCUGACGGCAAGGGACGAAAGCUAGGGGCACGAACCGGAUUAGAUACCCGGGUAGUCCUAGCCGUAAACGAUACUCGCUAGGUGUCGGCCACGGUGCGACCGUUGUCGGUGCCGUAGGGAAGCCGUGAAGCGAGCCACCUGGGAAGUACGGCCGCAAGGCUGAAACUUAAAGGAAUUGGCGGGGGAGCACCACAACGGGUGGAGCUUGCGGUUUAAUUGGAUUCAACGCCGGG
rnacentral:rRNA from 1 species